rnacentral:rRNA from 1 species
AGUGAACGCUGGCGGUAGGCCUAACACAUGCAAGUCGAACGGCAGCACAGUAAGAGCUUGCUCUUACGGGUGGCGAGUGGCGGACGGGUGAGGAAUACAUCGGAAUCUACUUUUUCGUGGGGGAUAACGUAGGGAAACUUACGCUAAUACCGCAUACGACCUACGGGUGAAAGCAGGGGAUCUUUUGCCCUUGCGCGUUUGAAUGAGCCGAUGUCGGAUUAGCUAGUUGGCGGGGUAAAGGCCGACCAAGGCGACGAUCCGUAGCUGGUCUGAGAGGAUGAUCAGCCACACUGGAACUGAGACACGGUCCAGAAUCCUACGGGAGGCCGCAGUGGGGAAUAUUGGACAAUGGGCGAAAGCCUGAUCCAGUCAUACCGCGUGAGUGAAGAAGGCCUUCGGGUUGUAAAGCCCUUUUGUGGGGAAAGAAAAGCAGCCGGUUAAUACCCCGCUGUCCUGACGGUACCCAAAGAAGAAGCACCGGCUAACUUCGUG